rnacentral:rRNA from 1 species
UACGAAGGGGGCUAGCGUUGCUCGGAAUUACUGGGCGUAAAGGGCGCGUAGGCGGCCAGUUUAGUCAGAGGUGAAAGCCCAGGGCUCAACCUUGGAACUGCCUUUGAUACUGGCUGUCUUGAGUUCGGGAGAGGUGAGUGGAAUGCCGAGUGUAGAGGUGAAAUUCGUAGAUAUUCGGCGGAACACCAGUGGCGAAGGCGGGCAUCUGGGCUAACACUGACGCUGAGGCGCGAAAGCUAGGGGAGCAAACAGG